UGUUGCAAUUAAUUACAUCUCUAGAUCGGAUCAUCUGUAUUUAAAAGUGAUUAGUCAGGCUUUUAAGCAUUAUUGAUUUCAAAAUGUUUAUCAAUGAACUUCCAGAGGAAUGUUUGCUCAUCAUUUUUGGUUCAAUAAAUGAAUUGGAUGAUUUAUUGAACUGCUAUAAAGUAUGUCGUAAAUGGAGCCAUUUAAUUGCAGAGCGAACCAGAAAAGUUAAAUAUUUGACUGAACAUGAAGGUGAUUGGCCAGAUAGGAAGCCAUUUCCAAGUUAUCCGCUGAAUCAUGUUUAUUAUCGAACAGAGGAACCAAUCGAUGGAAC